rnacentral:rRNA from 1 species
AGGUUGACCUCGGAUCAGGUAGGGAUACCCGCUGAACUUAAGCAUAUCAAUAAGCGGAGGAAAAGAAACCAACAGGGAUUGCCUCAGUAACGGCGAGUGAAGCGGCAACAGCUCAAAUUUGAAAUCUGGCUCUUUCAGGGUCCGAGUUGUAAUUUGUAGAAGAUGCUUCGGGUGUGGCUCCGGUCUAAGUUCCUUGGAACAGGACGUCAUAGAGGGUGAGAAUCCCGUAUGUGACUGGCUGCCUCCGCCCAUGUGAAGCUCUUUCGACGAGUCGAGUUGUUUGGGAAUGCAGCUCAAAAUGGGUGGUAAAUUUCAUCUAAAGCUAAAUAUUGGCCAGAGACCGAUAGCGCACAAGUAGAGUGAUCGAAAGAUGAAAAGCACUUUGGAAAGAGAGUUAAACAGUACGUGAAAUUGUUGAAAGGGAAGCGCUUGCAAUCAGACUUGCGCGCGGUCGAUCAUCCGGUGUUCUCACCGGUGCACUCGAUCGUGCUCAGGCCAGCAUCGGUUUCGGUGGUUGGAUAAAGGCCUUGGGAAUGUGGCUCCUUUCGGGGAGUGUUAUAGCCCUCGGUGCAAUGCAGCCUACCGGGACCGAGGACCGCGCUUCGGCUAGGAUGCUGGCGUAAUGGUUGUAAGCGACCCGUCUUGAAACACGGACCAAGGAGUCUAACAUCUAUGCGAGUGUUUGGGUGUCAAACCCAUACGCGUAAUGAAAGUGAACGGAGGUGAGAACCCUUAAGGGUGCAUCAUCGACCGAUCCUGAUGUCUUCGGAUGGAUUUGAGUAAGAGCAUAGCUGUUGGGACCCGAAAGAUGGUGAACUAUGCCUGAAUAGGGUGAAGCCAGAGGAAACUCUGGUGGAGGCUCGCAGCGGUUCUGACGUGCAAAUCGAUCGUCAAAUUUGGGUAUAGGGGCGAAAGACUAAUCGAACCAUCUAGUAGCUGG